UAUAUUGGCUUAUUUUCCACCCUGCUCGGUUUCCUUUGUUCUUAUCGGGGAAUAUAUUCAAUAUUCCCCUCUAAUCAAUUUCCGUUUAAUAAUCCCCUCUAAUAUUCACCUGCAAUUGAUAUUCCCCUCUAAUAUUCACCUGCAAUGUCUUUGCAGCACAAAAAAUGAGAAAAAAACAACAUAACGAAGGCAAUAUGGCAUUAGGAAUUAUUUCUAUUCUGUCUCAUUAACGCGACCUCGCAGUGUGAAAAAUAAGUACGUUAUUUUGAGGCACCUCGGGGAUAUGUGUUUAUUCACCUCGGCGCUGCGCGCCUCGGUGAAUAAAUCACAUAUCCCCUCGUUGCCUCAAAAUAACCUAUACAAAUA
rnacentral:lncRNA from 1 species